GACGAACGCUGGCGGCGGGCUUAACACAUGCAAGUCGAACGGAGAGGGGAACGGGUGAGUAAUACGUGGGGAAACUGCCCUCCUGGUUGGGAUAAGCCUUGGGAACGGGGUCUAAUACCGAAUAAAGGGGGAUGGGCUCGCGGCCUAUCAGGUUGUUGGGGGGGUGAUGGCCUAACAAGGCGGUGACGGGUUGCCGGGCUGAGAGGCUGACCUGCCACAUUGGGACUGCCCUACGGCCCAGGCUCCUACGCGGGGCAGCAGUUGGGAAUAUUGCCCAAUGGGUGAUAGCCCGAUGCAGCGACGCCGCGUGGGGGCUGAGGGUUUUCGGGUUGUUACCCUCUGUAGGUAUCGAUCCGGUAGGUGGAGAAGAAGCGCCGGCUAACUACGUGCCAGCAGCCGCGGUAAUAC
rnacentral:rRNA from 1 species